UAGGAGUUAGCUCAAGUGGGUAGAGCGCUCCCUCUUGGCCCUUGAGGUCAAGGGUUCGAUCCUUACUCCUAG
rfam:Beta vulgaris subsp. vulgaris chromosome 9, whole genome shotgun sequence.